GAGCCUGAUGAUUUCCUGCCCUCACCACAGCUUCCUGUCGCACGCGGGUGGUGAGAAGGAGAGGCAGGCGGGGAGCAAGAAAGGCAGGUACAGCUGGGCACAGGGAUCGUGCAGCUGGUGGCUGGGGCACAGGCCCCAGCGCUGGCUCCGGGACUAACACCUUUCCGGAGCCAACGCUAAUCUCAACUCGAUCGAGCAAGACAGCAGACGCAGCUGCCGGCUGCUGGAUCCCAGGCUGGGGCCCACUUGGUCCCACACCCCUCGAGGGGCUGCGGUGCAGCAGGGCCUGGGGCAGGCGCUCUGCAGAUGGAAGUAGACGCCUUGAGCCCUGUGGAGCUGGGUCUCCUGCUGCUGCCCUUCUUGGUCAUGCUCCUGGCUGCCCUAUGCGUGCGCUGCCGUGAGUUGCCAGCCUCCUAUGACAGUGCUUCCACAGAGAGUUUGUACCCAAGGAGCAUCCUCAUCAAACCACCUCAAAUAACCGUCCCCCGAACACCUGCUACUUCCUACCCUCUUGUCACUUCCUUCCCACCCCUGAGGCAGCCAGACCUGCUCCCCAUUCCGAGAUCCCCACAGCCCCUCGGGGGCUCCCAUCGGAUGCCAUCUUCCCGGCAGAAUUCAGAUGAUGCCAACAGUGUGGCGAGCUACGAGAACCAGGAGCCAGCCCGUAAGAACGUGGAUGAAGACGAGGACGAAGAUGACUAUCCCGAGGGCUACCUAGUGGUGCUGCCUGACAGUAGUCCUGCCGCCGUCCCUGUUGUCUCCUCUGCUCCGGUGCCCAGCAACCCUGACCUUGGAGACAGUGCCUUCUCUAUGGAGUCAUGUGAAGAUUACGUGAAUGUCCCUGAGAGUGAGGAGAGCGCAGAGGCAUCUCUGGGUAGGUGACCACACUCCAUGCAUGGCCUUUAGCUUCUCCCCACCCUGUGCACGGCCUGCCCUUCACGCCAUUGUCCCUGCUGAUCUGUCCCCACAGACGGGAGCCGGGAGUAUGUGAAUGUGUCCCAGGACCCACAGCCAGUGAUCAGGGCUGAGCUGGGUAAGUACCAAGGUGUAAGGGGGCAGGAGCUGGCUUGGCCUGCAGACUGAACACCAGUCUCCCUCUGCCUUUCCCUCUCAGCCUCUGUGAACUCCCAGGAGGUGGAAGAUGAAGAAGAAGAGGAGGAUGUGGAUGGAGAGGAAGCUCCUGACUAUGAGAACCUUCAGGAACUUAACUGAAAGCCUGCUGCAGCUAUCAGCCCUGGAACUGGACUUGCUGGGGGUGUCGCUAAGGGAGUCCCAUUUGACCUCUGCCUUGCCUACAGCCUGAGAAUCUCCCCUAACUUAUUGUGACUUUGGAGCUCAGUCUGUGUCCCCAGUAUUCUGCACCUUCUGAUGAAGCCUGAGAAUGAAUCUAGUUCCAGCGGACUAUGUCAUAGAAUAAAGGCCACGUGGCCCAAAAUCU